GCCAUCUCCUGCAGUGCAGUGGGUCUGUUGUUCUCGACGCCCUCCCUGACCUCUCCCUGCCCUCCUGCAGGGCUCCACUCAUGCACAGAGAGUCUUCUGCAUGGUUUUGGCCACUCUCCUUUCUGCAGUUUUCUCUUGAGCCUCUCCUUUUGAUGACUGCUACCAGCACCACCUCCCCUCUCUCUUUGCAGGAGGGUCUUUAGCCACAGCCAGGAGCAUCUGCAAGCCAACAGCUCCUUGUCCCUCUCCUCUGCCCUGGGAUUUGGACACGGAGCUGGGACAUCACCCAUCCAGAGGGUUUGCACAGGUCCACAGUGCUGGCAUAAACUCCAGCUGCCAAAGCCCUGCCACAGUGCUGUCUUCCCAUCCCUUUCCAUAUCAGAUAAUGUCCUGAGGUUUGGAAAUCUGAGUUCAAGCCAUUGGUUAUUGUAAUCUGUUCCUGCUACAGCUGCUUCCCAUCCCUGCUUCCCUCCCCUUCCCCAGUCUUUUAUUUGUCUUUCCUGGCAUGGGCUUAGGUGGGCAUGCAUGACUUACGAGUUUUAAUUUCCUGUGGGAAACAUGUCUCAUGGCCUGCAGAAAACCUCAUUUGGAGACUUCAGAUGAUGUACUGUGUGUGACCCCAUAUGUGGUGAAGCUGACUGGCAUUGCAUGAAUUCUGAUAUCAUAACAAAUGCUUGACAAGCAGUGCAGAGACAUAUGAUAUAUCCUGAAAACAGCUCUGACAUAAGAUCGAUACAUAAGAUUAGGAAGCCAUAACCUCUAGGUGACCCAUAUGGAAACAAGAGCAAGGCUACAUUUGUGCACCUACCACAAACCUCAACUCAAAUACACCCCAAGCACCCAGGCAGUCCCCAGCAUGUCGGGACUCCAUCCAGGGGGAAUGUUUUGUAGAGGAGGAGCACAUACAAUCCAAGCAGCAGUCUCUUGAUGCACAGAUGCACGAUGGGCUGCCAAAGGUUACCUGGCUCAGUUCUCAUCUCAUGGCAAGUUCGCAGCUGCUCCCUGAGUAUUGAAGGUGAUGCGGUGAGUGCUCAGUGUCAGAGGCACCGAAGGCAGUGAAGAAAUCUG
rnacentral:lncRNA from 13 species